GGAGGCAGCAGUAGGGAAUCUUCCGCAAUGGGCGAAAGCCUGACGGAGCAAUCCCGCGUGGAGGAUGACACCUUUCGGGGCGUAAACUCCUUUUCUGAGGGAAGAAGUUCUGACGGUACCUCAGGAAUAAGCGACGGCUAACUACGUGCCAGCAGCCGCGGUAAUACGUAGGUCGCAAGCGUUAUCCGGAAUCAUUGGGCGUAAAGCGUUCGAAGGCGGACAGGAGGGUCUGAUAUUAAAUACCUGCGGCUCAACCGAGGUGUCGUAUCGGAAACCGCUUGUCUAGAGGGAGACAGAGGCAACUAGAAUUCCCAUUGUAGGGGUAAAAUCCGUAGAUAAUGGGAGGAAUACCGAAAGCGAAGGCAGGUUGCUGGGUCUUUCCUGACGCUGUGCGAACGAAAGCGUGGGGAGCGAAAGGGAUUAGAUACCCCUGUAGUCCACGCCGUAAACGAUGAACACUCGGUGUACGACGGUUCAAUCCCGUUGUGUGCCCAAGCUAACGCGUUAAGUGUUCCGCCUGUGGAGUACGGCCGCAAGGUUAAAACAUAAAGGAAUAGACGGGGAUCCACACAAGCGGUGGAGCAUCUGGUUUAAUUCGAUAAUACGCGGGGAACCUUACCAGGGCUUGACAUCCUAGGAAUCUUGCAGAAAUGCGAGAGUGCCUUCGGGAGCCUAGUGACAGGUGCUGCAUGGUUGUCGUCAGCUCGUGCCUUGAGGUGUGCGGUUAAGUCCGUGAACGAGCGCAACCCUCGUCGUGCGUUGUAUUUUUCGCGCGAGACUGCCGGUUUUACGCCGGAGGAAGGUGAGG
rnacentral:rRNA from 1 species